rnacentral:rRNA from 1 species
UACGGAGAGUGCAAGCGUUGUUCGGAAUUAUUGGGCGUAAAGCGCGUGUAGGUGGCUUGAUAAGUCUGAUGUGAAAGCCCAGGGCUCAACCCUGGAAGUGCAUUGGAAACUGUCGAGCUUGAGUACUGGAGGGGGAAGUGGAAUUCUCGAGUGUAGAGGUGAAAUUCGUAGAUAUUCGGAAGAACAUCAGUGGCGAAGGCGGCUCACUGGCCCGGUACUGACGCUGAGGUGCGAAAGCGUGGGGAGCAAACAGG